UCGAGAGGCUUCGGCAAUGGGGGAAACCCUGACCCAGCAACGCCACGUGAAGGAUGAAGUAUUUCGGUAUGUAAACUUCGAAAGAAUAGGAAGAAUAAAUGACGGUACUAUUUAUAAGGUCCGGCUAACUACGUGCCAGCAGCCGCGGUAAUACGUAGGGACCAAGCGUUGUUCGGAUUUACUGGGCGUAAAGGGCGCGUAGGCGGCAUGACAAGUCACUUGUGAAAUCUCUGGGCUUAACCCAGAACGGCCAAGUGAUACUGUCGCGCUAGAGUGCAGAAGGGGCAAUCGGAAUUCUUGGUGUAGCGGUGAAAUGCGUAGAUAUCAAGAGGAACACCUGAGGUGAAGACGGGUUGCUGGGCUGACACUGACGCUGAGGCGCGAAAGCCAGGGGAGCAAACGGGAUUAGAUACCCCGGUAGUCCCUGAGCGGGCUGGCAAGGCGCAU
rnacentral:rRNA from 1 species